rnacentral:lncRNA from 1 species
UCGUCUCUCUGAAGCUUCUUCUUCAUCAACCAUGGUUGAUGACACUACUUCAAUAGGGAACACUUCUCCCUCCGACUAUUAUACAUGCAUGUAUAUGGAUCGACAUCUAUAAUUUCCUAACAAUAAUGGAUCUAAAAUGAAGAUUCAUGUUCGAAAUUACAAGUCAUAUUCAAGUUUUGGGAUCUCAUGGACAUCCCUACUACUCACCACGCUCGACACAAAGGCACCGGCCUUCUUUGCAUUCGGUCGAACACCUGGAACAUGCUUCCCAAGGCGAUCUCGAAGGCCUCAAAACGUGGGAGAGGAGGUCAGUGCUUUGAUGGUAACACGUACCUGCACCUUCUCGUGCUCCUUCCGUGUCCACCUUUCUUCUCCGAGCAAACCAUAACCUAUUCAACGUGGUACAGAUUGAUCCCUGAUUCCCUUAAUAAGAUAAGCCUAAAGCACCAAAACUCCAAUCAUUAAUGGAGCUAAACGACUGACACGACGACGAUGAUGAUACCGAAG